CAGCAGCCGCGGGAAUACGUAGGUGGCAAGCGUUGUCCGGAAUUAUUGGGCGUAAAGGGCUCGCAGGCGGUUUCCUAAGUCUGAUGUGAAAGCCCCCGGCUCAACCGGGGAGGGUCAUUGGAAACUGGGAAACUUGAGUGCAGAAGAGGAGAGUGGAAUUCCACGUGUAGCGGUGAAAUGCGUAGAGAUGUGGAGGAACACCAGUGGCGAAGGCGACUCUCUGGUCUGUAACUGACGCUGAGGAGCGAAAGCGUGGGGAGCGAACAGGAUUAGAUACCCCCGUAGUCCCUGUCUCUUAUAC
rnacentral:rRNA from 1 species